GACAGAGGGUGCAAACGUUGUUCGGAAUUACUGGGCGUAAAGCGCGUGUAGGCUGCUCUGCAAGUCGGAUGUGAAAUCCCCGGGCUCAACCUGGGAAUUGCAUUCGAUACUGGAUAGCUAGAGUUCGGCAGGGGGAAGCGGAAUUUCGGGUGUAGCGGUGAAAUGCGUAGAUAUCCGAAGGAACAUCAGUGGCGAAAGCGGCUUCCUGGACCAGAACUGACGAUCAGGCACGAAAGCGUGGGGAGCAAACAGG
rnacentral:rRNA from 1 species